GUCAAGCUAGACCUGGAAGUCAAUGUCAUGGUACCCCACGUGAUGUUGAAGAAAUGGUGAAAUGUAGACCUGCCAAGAAUUGACAGAGCCGUGUAGCUGUUUGCCUAGCUGGCAAUUGAUCUACGCAAUGAUUGAUAUCAUGAGUAGAUUAAGCAACAAGCAAACAAGAGCAUUCAAAUGACCCUGGUACCAUACAAGGAUGACCUGUCCAGUUAGGCAUAGUAAACAAAUUCCCACAAACACACCAAAAGGGGCAGUGGAAAGGAAAAGUACAUAUGUUUUGUGAUUUGAGCCUGACCUGGUUCUCUGAUGUCCAAAACCUGAUCGAUCCUCUUUGUGUCUGAAGGAAAACAGGGCUCAAAAUGUCAUGCAUGUGAUGGUUGAAGGCUGUGACAAUGUUUAGUCUGGAAAAAAGCUCCUUUUUUCCAGUUCGAUGGGAUUGAAGAGCUGCUCAAAUGACGGAAGAGCUAUCAUGUGAACAGGAAUUAGAGCGCACUCCGAGGGGGGAGCAGGGGCCAGUGUGAAAUGACAAAGUGACAUUUUAGCUCUCCACGUUUUCUAGCAAUUAGACCUUUCCUGAAGUGGAAGGGGCUGCCUGGGGAAGCAGAGCAUUUCUGUUGCUGGGAGUUUUCUCAGAGGCUGAUGCACAUCUUGGGGACUGCUGAGGCUCCAUUCAAUCCCACCGGAGACACAAAUGGGAAUUCAGCCUGUGCCUUCCCGUGUAUUGGGCACUGGGUGAUGCCAGCCUUUGGAUGUAGGAGUAGAAUCCUCCCAACAAGCCUGGGAUUCAUCAUCACUCCCAUGUUGCAGAUGAAGAAACUGAGGCUCACAGAGGCUAAAUAAUCCACCUAAAGUUGCCUAACGAGUAUUCAAACCCUGGUGGAUUUGGCUUCAAAGCCAAUGGUUUUUUGCCUGUAUCGUAUACCCUCCAUCAUGCUAAAUAAGUUCUUAAUCCUUAAGCCCUAAUUAAUAAAAUGUAUUAUUUUGCAAUGUUAUCAAAAUCCCACAUUCCUAGAGGCUUAAAUAAAAUUCUCCCCAAUAUAAAACCUAAUUAUUCCCUAAGCGUCUGCAGGCAUGCCAAAGGGCCUCUUUGCUAGAAAUUCCACGAUUUCCUGAUUAACAAAAGGAAAUAGCAUUGAGGCUCUCUUUCUGAAACUUCUACUAGGAAUCUCAGAAAUGAAACUUGCGGUAUUCAUACCAUAAAAUCAAUUCAGAUAGCUGAAUUCUUAUAUCUGCUUUUU
rnacentral:lncRNA from 1 species